GAUGAACGCUGGCGGCGUGCCUAAUACAUGCAAGUCGAGCGAACGGACGAGAAGCUUGCUUCUCUGACGUUAGCGGCGGACGGGUGAGUAACACGUGGAUAACCUACCUAUAAGACUGGGAUAACUUCGGGAAACCGUAGCUAAUACCGGAUAAUAUUUUGAACCGCAUGGUUCAAAAGUGAAAGACGGUCUUGCUGUCACUUAUAGAUGGAUCCGCGCUGCAUUAGCUAGUUGGUAAGGCAACGGCUUACCAAGGGAACGAUGCAUAGCCGACCUGACAGGGUGGUCGGCCACACUGGAACUGAGACACGGUCCAUAGUCCUACGGGAGGCAGCAGUAUGGAAUGUUCCGCAAUGGGCGGAAGCCUGACGGAACAACGCCGCGUGAGUGGUAGAGGUCUUCGGAUCGUGAAACUCUGUUAUUAGGGAAGAACAUAUGUGUAAGUAACUGUGCACAUCUUGACGGUACCUAAUCAGAAAGCCACGGCUAACUACGUG
rnacentral:rRNA from 1 species